CUUGACGAUUCCGGUACAUUUUUUAUUUACCAUUCCAGUUGUUCUUGGAAACGGUAAAUAUGUUUUAAAUAUCCAUAUCCAGGGCCCGAAAAUAAACAACGCUAUCAAAAGCACCUCCUGAAGGUUUUUAAGCGAUUUUUUAUCUCUCAUUAUUACAAA
rnacentral:lncRNA from 1 species